GACGAACGCUGGCGGCGUGCUUAACACAUGCAAGUCGAACGGAAAGGCCCUGCUUUUGUGGGGUGCUCGAGUGGCGAACGGGUGAGUAACACGUGAGUAACCUGCCCUUGACUUUGGGAUAACUUCAGGAAACUGGGGCUAAUACCGGAUAGGAGCUCCUGCUGCAUGGUGGGGGUUGGAAAGUUUCGGCGGUUGGGGAUGGACUCGCGGCUUAUCAGCUUGUUGGUGAGGUAGUGGCUUACCAAGGCUUUGACGGGUAGCCGGCCUGAGUGGGUGACCCGCCACAUGGUGACUGAGACUCAGCCCAGACGCCAACGGGAGACAGCAGUGGAGAAUAUAGCAAAGUAGGCGGAGGCCAGAUGCAACAACGCCGCGUGCGAGAAGACGGCCUUCGGGUAGUAAAACGCUUUCGCCUAUAUCGAAGCGUGUGUAACGGAAAUGGGUAAAGAAGCACCGGCUACUUACGU
rnacentral:rRNA from 1 species